CACAGAUAUAAAAUAAUGCAGUUAGGUACAAUUCAUCUACAUCAGAGAGUAGGACUGAUGUGACUAACAUUGUGCAAAUGUUCUUAAUAUAGACAAUACCUCAGUCUGCAGAACACAAAAAAUUGGUUCUAAAAAGAAUAAUCAGACCUAUUUGUUUCAGAGGGAUGUUAACAUUGAAACUUAAAUAUAGCAGCAUACAGAGCAACACGGUUAACUACUUCUCUGCUAAGCCUUAUAAUGGAAAUAUUCCCUAUCAUACAUAGCUUUUAUUUUCCUAAGAAUUAGAUUCAAAUUAUGUAAUAGAAAAAUAACAGUGGGAAAGUGCACUGGUUGCCUUAGUUUACCGUGCAUUAAAAUUAUUGAAACUAUUGGUUGCUAAAUGCAAUGAAGCUUCCACAUUGUUCCUUCAUCAGCAUUGAAGCAGUACAGGCUUUAGCAGCAGCAGGUCAGCCUGUUGCAGAAUUCAUAUAGUCAAGCCUAUUACAGGCUAGGUAUAAAAAUCAAGUCAGGAUUUGCAGUCAGUGGAAAUCCCAGUGGAAAGACAUGGAAUUCUUACAUGGAAAAUCCUAACGUUAGCGGAGCUUAAGCAAAGUAAAUCCUAAAAGCUAACACAAAGAAUGCCCAAGGUCUUUUUAGCAGAGUUAGCCUCUUCACUCACCCAAACUUUUCAAAUGUCACUGAUACCUCGCCUUUUAGGCAUGGUACUCGACUCUGGAGCAGAUGCAUUCUGCACUGAAGCAGGGAAUGGCCUCGGCUGGUUGAGUGGUAGCCCUGUCAGGGAGCAGCUGCAGGGCCCCAUUGUGCUCUGCACGGCAACGGCAUUCUGACGUUGUGCGGGUGGAGACAGGAGCAGCGGCGGGAUCAGCCGCCGCGUGUAUAAAACGUACCGCUAGGGAGUGGAAUGACCCAGGAGCGGAGUGAACAGGAAAGGCGAACGGGCCAUGGCACAUCAGAGAGGUAUGGUGCAGCAGUUUGCGCAGGCAGUGCCUCCAAACUGCAGUUCUCUUUUGGAAUGAACUUCCCACCUUCAUCUUCAUUUGGAAAUUUGAGAGAUGAUCCUGUCACACUAGCUUUACUCUGAAAAGUAGCAGGUUCCAUGAGGGAAGCAUGUGAUUUGGCAACUUAUUUCAGAGCAUGCAGAUUAAAAAAAAAUUGUCUGGUUACACAGA